AUUUCCUGUACUUGCGUCUCCAGGACAAGGUAAAUUUUAUAUAUUUUUAAUCCUCGAGAAAUAAGCUAUCGGAAAAUGUUUGAAUCAAGUUUAUACGAUCAGAAAUUUAGAAGUUAGGAGUCAAUUCGGCAGCCGCUUGACUAAAAUUUACUAUUGUUUACAACAUGACAACAAUAUAGUCUAGGACCUGUAUAGGAGUUUGUAUGCGUUUUAUUUACCACAGGUAAUCUCAAUUGUUUUAGGGUAAAAUGACCAAAGCGGUCAACAUGGCAUAUGUGCCAAAACCUGAAUCCGGGACGAAAGUCCUGAAAAUCAGGGCCUUUUUUAAGGAUUUUCCCGUGGGGGGAGGCAUUUUUUGAAAAGGGACCUUUCUGUGAGAUAUUAUAUUAGAGGGGGAUAGCAACGGCUGAAGGUCACAUGUCUGGCCAAUAUACCACGCAUGAAUGGGGG